CUUAUAGAGGCGCGGCAAAGAUAAGUAAGCGGAUUAAAGGGUCGGGUCCCUCCGCGAAAGGCGAUGCCGCCGAAGUGUGCUCUUUCCCCGGAAAAGGGUAUGCUGGGCGCAGGGCGAACAGCUUUGCGACUGUCAUCUGAGGAUGGAGCACUAUA
rnacentral:ncRNA from 1 species